UGUCUGAACUGUACUGUAAACUCAACCCUCGAUAUUUUCCUUCUCCUAUGACACAUGUACCACCUAUGAAAACACGUGUACCCCACUACUUUAAUAUUACUACUCUAAAUAUCCUUAUUGCCCUUAGGGAUGCUGAUUUAGCUAUAUUCAGAGUUUGAUAAAUUCGUCAUUCUGUUGAACACAUCAGUUCAUUUUCUCCAAACAGCCACCGCUGCUCCUCUUCUCCUUCCAUUCUCCAACCGGGGUUCCUCUCAAGCUCAUUAGUCAGUUGCUCCUUCAUUUAUUCACCGAAUCACCGGUAUGAACUCUUAUUUUGAGAGUAUUCCCUUUUUUUAUGUGCGUCUUUCCUUCCUGCUUUAACUAUUUUUAAGUUUCUGAUUUAUAUUGUCCUUUGAUUAAUCAAGGGUUUCUCACAAACUAUAUUUGUUUGUGUUUAAUUUUCAAUGCACUACAAGAAAGUAGGCCUACGAUGACACUUAAUUAAUGACAUGUAUAAUAAGUGUCGGAAAAUCGCUUAUGUACUGACAUUUUUCAAGUAAUGUCGUAAAAUUAAUGACAUUUUAGUAAAAAUGUCAAUACUAUUGAGACUUUUAAUGCAAUAUCGAAAUAUUAGUCUGUUAUUUUGUGACGUUUAAAAACAAAUGAAGGAAAUUUUAACUAUUAAAUUUUACAAACUGAAAGUAAAAAAAUUUAACAGCUCCCUAGCGUUCUCCUUUUAGAAAGAAAAAAAAAAGUCUAGGUUCUUCUCUGAGAAACCCUAGCAAUUUCUCCCCUUUCCCCAACCCCCAAGACACAUAUGAUACUUCUGCAGCAAGACGCAAGCUUUGUAUAAUUUUUCGCGAAAUUCUCAAGCAUUUAACAGUUAUAGCAGUAAGACGCAAGCUUUGCACCAGCCUACAAGGGAUUUGCUUUUGGACUUGAUUCAUGUAACUUUCAGCACUCCGAUCUAUUUAUGUUUUGAUCAAGAGUACUGCAUUUUUGGGAAGAUCUAAAGUCACGAGGUUUGAAGGAUGAUACAACCUGCUUGGUUGUUGAUACUAUUCCUUAUGACUAUCCUGCCUUGCCUACUCUUAUGAAGAUGCCAAAUUUGCUGAGUCCAUUUAUCUUUGGAAGGAGUCAGAAAAUUAUAUUUAUAAGAAAGCUUUCUACUGUUAGUAUUGUGGAUGAAUUAUUUGAGAGGACUCUGUAGUGUUUGUCAAAAGGUAAGCUUUAUAUGUUUGUUUUAGUGCAGUUCAACCAACCUAAUCAAACAUAAAAUUGACAUCUCAUUAUCAUGUUGAUACAUACUGUUAGGAGUGUGUACCAUAUCAACUUUUGGAAUUCUUCAUUUAGUUAACUACAUCUGUUGUUCAAAGUUCAGCGGAAGUAGUUCUAUUUCCCUUCAUUUAACCAUGUGUUUGUAUAAUUUCAUGAGGACUCAGAGUGCCUUAUGUUUUGUUUUCCUGCAGACAUGUCGAUUAUUGGGUUUCAUCUCAUUUAUGAAAUUUAUCUGCUGAUUGGAAUUAUAUGUCAUUUGUUAACUAUGGUGUGUAAUGUGUGAAGUUUGGUUGAGUAGUUGAUUCUAGUUUGCUUUUUCAUCCAAAAGAAAGAGCACUAAUUUGCAAAUGUCAGAGGGCUUCUAUUCUGGGAGUAUUAUUGUUGAUUAGUCACAGUGAGCAAGUCUAGCAUCUGGCUUCUCUCGGUAAAGAUCCUUGUAUAUUUGAUGGCCAAACAUCAUCAACAACAACAACUCAUUCCUAAAGGAUCAAGGAAUACCUGGAGAAAUGAAUAAGAGAAAGUAGUGAGGAUCAACAAAGCAGAAUCAGCAGUUAAAAAUCAGCAGCAACACAGCAGCAAUAGGAUCAAUUUUAAAACCAAAAUAGUAUCACAGCAGCCCAGGAAUGAAUUACGGAGGAACAGCACCAACAAACAAUCAAAAUAGACUUGAUUGAGCCAAAGCAGACUCGAAAUAAACCCAGGAAACUUCUGAAACUUCAGCAACCAAACACACAACGAAUUUUAAGGUCAUUAUCGUCCUUAUCUAAGCUGAAAUUCGAAUGAACAGCUGGAAUUUGAAAUUAUUCUAAGAAACUUCAAUGGAACAGUAUUUUUUGGAGUUUUUGUGUUUUUUUUGGGUUUUCAGAAGAUCUAAGAUCUAGAAUGAGCUCUCACACUCUCAGAUUUCAAACUUUUGUUUUUGAAUUUGAAUUUCAGAUUUUUAGCCCUCAAAACUUGUGUGGAUUUUUCAGAUUUUAAAACUUGUGAAACAAGGCAAUAGGCAUGCCUAUUUAUAUACAAAACUUAGUGCAGCCUUCAGAUUUCUGUUUUCCCCCUAAGUCCCUCAUUUAUUUUUCAGUUUUUAGCUAGUUAGUCCCUUAUUUAUUGGCUUGUUGCCCAAGCUAGAUCACUAAAUUUUCUGAAAUUCAAAUUGGAACCCCUUCUAGAAGGCUCUAGGGGGUUCUAUUUUUAGUUACUGCACUACUCUUUCGUUGAACUACCUAAAUUACCCUUGAAUUAAUCCUAAAUUACUAAACUAUCCAGCCUUGUUAACUUUCGUCAAAACUGACCAUGGUUAAACAAAAACAAAUGCUGGAUUAUUCAGCUAUAUCCAAACAUUUCCUAAAAUUGAAUUAAUUAAUCUAACUAAAAUUUAACCCUAAUUAAUACUAAUGUCCUAAGGCUAAGAUUAAGAAGUAGUGAACUAUCAACAAACAAAUAAAAAUUGAAAAUUACAGUAAAAAUUAUGAAUCAUACAAUCGAAAUCAAACACCAAAUUAAAAGAAUAGCAUCAUGCUUUCAACCAUCAAAAAAAAUUCAGACUUAAACCAGAAAUACGAAAUAAAAAAAAACGACAAGAUCAACAGAACAAAAAAAAUCAAACCAAAAUAAAAUAAAAAAUAGAAUCAAUAGAACAAAAAUCAAUUAAAACCCUAAGGAUCCUAAUUCAGUCAACAAGAAGAAUGAUUGAUCAAUGAGGGAAUAUCACAUUCAAACAAACGAAAUUAUUAUGCAAAGAAGGAAGAAAUAAACAAGAGCUUAAAUGAAAUAAAAAAUCAAAUAAAAACAAAAAACAUAUUAAUUUUGGCCUUCUAAUCGAUUGACCUUGAAUCGAGUCCCCAAAUAAUGUUAUAUGCUUGUUCUUGCCAAGAACAAGCACAUAACAUUAUUUUGGAACUCAAUUCGACACUGGUAAGCCCUUGGGAAUUCGACCAGCCUUGAACAAACCCUAGAUCUAAAAUUCGCGUAAUUGUAGUUGGAUUUUACGGAAACUGGUUUGGGAUUUGGGAAGAAGAAGGUGAGGAGGGUCUGGGGUGUAAUUUUGGGAAGGUUUGGGAGGCGGCGGCGCCGUGCACGGCGGAGGUGGCGCUAGGGUUUGGAUUAUUCGAGAUGUUUGAGGGGGAUUUGAAAGAAAGUGAGGCUAGAUUCGGAAUGAGGAGGAAGAGGAGGUGCUAUGGUGUAUUUUUUUGGUCGUUUGGAGAAUCGCCGCCGGCCGGAGGCAAUUUCCGGCCGGCGGCGGAAGGCGGUGGCGUUACGCCGGCGUGUAUUGGGGUGUUCUGAGAGAUGGUGAG